AACAACAACCGUAAAUCAAAGUAGUGACGAUGUCGAUCCUUCUUCCUCAUAUGUCGCCUAAAUCUAAUUACUACUAAUAAUUAAGCCAUACCCUUUGAUCUCUCCUCCUCCAAUUUGCCGAAACGUUGUUUUCAUCCCUUCUCCAUUUCCUGCACCCUCUGAUGAGAUUGAAAUCUCAUUCGGUCGCAACCUAAAUCCCUAGCCACAAUUCAGAUCGAGGUUAUAGUGAAACAAAGCUCUAUCGUCCUACCUUCUCCUUACAAGAAAUAUAGUUCCAUAAAAGAGCCACGAUUCAAAGAGGAGCGAGAUAUAAUCAAGCAAAAAUAGGACCGAAGAUGUAGUCAAUAGAGAAAAAGUAAAAAAGUCAACAAUUUAAUCCUCAUCUAUCUACACACCCGAGACCAUGGAAGAUGCUGUAUAUCCGUGGGCUUAUCGAAAUUGAGACAACUAUAUGAGCCAACAUCAGCAUGCUAAAUCAGAAAUUUGAAACGACCCCACAUACAAAAUCUCCUUCAAAUCUGUUCUGCUAUAGUCUCGACUGCCAUCGUUGCCAUUACCAAUCCAUUACGCAUCUCAAUAAAUCACGUUGGGCAUUCAAAGAUCGAAUCAUAUUCAAGUUAAGGCUUAGAACUUCAAGCUUUUGUUGCCUUGAUCAUACAUCAUAGAGCAUGUAAACAAUAUGAUCCUAGACAAAAGCCCUUUACCAUCGCAAGACGUUGAUGAUCAACAAUUUAUAGAUCAACAUGGUGAGGCUGAGAUCUCUUUGCUUUUCUUUCAAUUUUUUAGGCUCUGCUUUCAAUAUGAUUGAAAUUGAUGCAAAGAUGCAGACUUUGUUUCUUGCUUUAAGUGUUCAGCACAUAAUUUCCAAUUUGGAUGAUAACCCUUCAAAAUAUGAGACAUAGCUAACUUGAUGUUUUCAUAACUUUUGUGGGUUUAUAUAAAGUUCUCUAUAAUAUAAUUAAACAUAAGCCUAAUGUUUGUAAC